AUCACUUCUCAGCCUUUUGUCUAAGACCAAGUGUAGUAUCUGUUCUUAUCAGUUUAAAUAUCUCUCAGUUCCCUUUGAUUCUUUCCAUACCACUU
ensembl:snRNA U2 U2 spliceosomal RNA